AUGCUAACCCCACACGGCAGGGAAGCCACGCUUAUGACUGCAUAGACAGACAAAGCCUUCAGCUCUUAAAAAAACGAAAAGCCAAAAAAAAAAAAAAAAAAGGAUAAAAAAUUAAAUUCAUUUUCUUACCAGCACGUUGCAGCACCAACUCGCUCGCAGGAAUGUUGCCUUUACAGGUUUCUCUUUUAAUUAUCCCGGAAGCAGGGAGACGGGGGAAAAAAAAGGCAAAGAAGAAGAAGAAGCAGGGUGGUUAAAUUAGCGUGCUGGAAUCUUUUCAGUUUGUCGCAGAGUAGAAAAAUAAAAAAGGGAAAAAAAAGGCUCAGUAAUUUAAAUUUGCUCUCAGUUCAGGCUGCAUGGCUGGGUCCCGCCCCUUCUUCCCGCUGGGUUCCACUACCUGCAAGGCUGGAACUGACAGCUGCUGUGCAAACAAAAAAGGCAACAAGCACGCGGGGACCAUUCUGACGGCUGUUUGGGUCUCACUUGUCCUGACAACUAAAAAUCACCGGUGGAAAGGGCUUCAAGAAGAGUAA
rnacentral:lncRNA from 1 species